rnacentral:sRNA from 1 species
UUCACCACCUCUCCUUUUCUCA